rnacentral:lncRNA from 1 species
GAAGUCACGAGGAUCUACCUCCUACCACUUCGUCUUCUCCGCUUGAAACCAUAGCGACUGCUUUCGUAUCAACUCCCUCUUCUCCUGCUUCUUUAUAUACUCAACUUCUUUCUUUGUACAAACCUAAACCCUAGAACCGCUCUAAUCUCAAUCCAUGGCGACGAAACCAAAUGGAAAGUCCCCUGUCUCAUCUGCUUCUGAUG